UACGAAGGGGGCGAGCGUUGUUCGGAAUUACUGGGCGUAAAGGGCGCGUAGGCGGCGACCCAAGUCAGAUGUGAAAGUCCUGGGCUUAACCUGGGGACUGCAUUUGAUACUGGGUUGCUUGAAUUCGGGAGAGGAUAGCGGAAUUCCCAGUGUAGAGGUGAAAUUCGUAGAUAUUGGGAAGAACACCGGUGGCGAAAGGCGGCUAUCUGGACCGACAUUGACGCUGAGGCGCGAAAAGCGUGGGGGAGCAAACAGGG
rnacentral:rRNA from 1 species